UACGAAGGGGGGCUAGCGUUGCUCGGAAUUACUGGGCGUAAAGGGCGCGUAGGCGGACAGUUUAGUCAGAGGUGAAAGCCCAGGGCUCAACCCUGGAAUUGCCUUUGAUACUGGGGAUCUUGAGUCCGGAAGAGGUGAGUGGAACUGCGAGUGUAGAGGUGAAAUUCGUAGAUAUUCGCAAGAACACCAGUGGCGAAGGCGGCUCACUGGCCCGGGUACUGACGCUGAGGUGCGAAAGCGUGGGGAGCAAACAGGAUUGAGAAACC
rnacentral:rRNA from 1 species